GUCUCGCUUCGGCAGCACAUAGACUUAAAUUGGAACGAUAUAGAGAAGAUUAGAAUGGCCCCUGCACAAGGAUGACAAGCAAAUUUGUGAAGCAUUCCAUAUUUAA
ensembl:snRNA RNU6-228P RNA, U6 small nuclear 228, pseudogene